UACGGAGGAUGCGAGCGUUAUCCGGAUUUAUUGGGUUUAAAGGGUGCGCAGGCGGAGGCACAAGUCAGCGGUAAAAUCGCGGGGCUCAACCCCGCUCCGCCGUUGAAACUGUGUCCCUUGAGUGCGCGAAGGGUAGGCGGAAUGCGUGGUGUAGCGGUGAAAUGCAUAGAUAUCGCGCAGAACCCCGAUUGCGAAGGCAGCCUGCCGGCCCCACACUGACGCUGAGGCACGAAAGCGUGGGUAUCGAACAGG
rnacentral:rRNA from 1 species